UACGUAGGGGGCAAGCGUUGUCCGGAUUUACUGGGCGUAAAGCGUACGCAGGCGGCUUUGCAAGACAGGUGUGAAAUCCCCGGGCCUAACCUGGGAACUGCAUUUGUGACUGCAUAGCUAGAGUUUGUCAGAGGGGGGUGGAAUUCCACGUGUAGCAGUGAAAUGCGUAGAUAUGUGGAGGAACACCGAUGGCGAAGGCAGCCCCCUGGGAUGUGACUGACGCUCAUGUACGAAAGCGUGGGGAGCAAACAGG
rnacentral:rRNA from 1 species